UCCUACGGGGGGCAGCAGUGAGGAAUAUUGGUCAAUGGCCGAGAGGCUGAACCAGCCAAGUCGCGUGAGGGAUGACGGCCCUACGGGUUGUAAACCUCUUUUGUCGGGGAGCAAGACCCGCCUCGUGCAGGCGGAGCGAGAGUACCCGAAGAAAAAGCAUCGGCUAACUCCGUGCCAGCAGCCGCGGUAAUACGGAGGAUGCGAGCGUUAUCCGGAUUUAUUGGGUUUAAAGGGUGCGCAGGCGGGAGAUCAAGUCAUCGGUAAAAUGUCGGGGCUCAACCCCGGCCCGCCCUUGAAACUGGUUU
rnacentral:rRNA from 1 species